CAAAGCCGCUGGACCCCCCCCAGCAGACCAGGGACAUGUGAGCAAAGCCGCCCAGGCGGCGACUUUGCUCUGGUGUCCCUGGUCUGCUGGGGGGGUCCAGCAGCUUUGC
rnacentral:pre_miRNA from 1 species